GCAAAUCCAUGCACAAGUUCUAGAGUUUCCAAAAAAAACUUUCUUUUGCGUUCUUUUUCUUGAGCAAAUCGUCAAAUCAAGGGGGGUUUUAUCUAUUUGAGAUCUUUUUGGAAACUGUGUUUAGCUAUGCUUAAAAUUUGUGAAUUUUAAAGGUCGUUUGAUCCAAAUUUUUUUGAUUCUUUUCUCUCGUGCCAUGCCGAAGCAUUAGCAGACAAGGUAUUUACGGAUCAUCCCACAAUGUAAUGACAGGUAGUCCAAUAAUCGACACGUAUUGAGGACAUGUAUCCCUUUUCUAGAGCGCUUUUGGGAGUGUUCGGUGUCCCAGACUCCCAGCCCAUUUUGGACCAUCCGAUCUAAUGGCGACAGAGGACCCUUUGUGAUUGCCGUUUAUCGGCUAGUCCGAUCGUCCUGUCCCAACUGUUUGAGCUCAACUUUGCAUCAGUUCUUUUGCAUUUGCUUCCAUGUUUUCCUAAGAUCGCUCCUAUGGUCAGUAGUCACUUUGACUACUUUUUUGGGACAUCAAUCGAGUUUCUUUGGAAGAAAAAUUUAUGGCCAUCUCGGUCCUUUGUAUAGUUAUAACAAAAAAAUCAUGCCACACAAACAGCUAAUUAAAAUCAUACAAUGUUGGGAAUGUUCAGUAUUGUAAAAUUUUGAGGAAAGUCGAAGUAAUGAAAAAAACAGAUGAAAGGUGCAUGGAUUGGGUCCAGAGUUGCAUAAGAAAUCUUGUAUGGGAAAACAAAACUUCUACUUGAGUCUCUUUGGGGAUUUUCCUGCAACUCAAGUGUGAGCAGGUGACCGUGGUGUCAGCUGUGCUUCCGCAGCUAAACCAUGACAAGAUGGAAAAUGGACUGAUCAGUCAGCCGAGACAGCCUCAAAUCCCUGUCAAUGGGAUAGGAGUCACAGGUUGAGCUAAUCAAACCCAUGCCACGCAAUUCAAUUCAACAAAUUACAGACGAGACUAGCAUUGACUUGAGAGCGUGGCAGGCUGCUUGAGUGACGAAAGGUCUUGCUCUGCACGCCGACAUAAUUUUCAGACCACGGAUCGAAUAACUCGUCCAGGUUGACCCAUUCCUGCGCAUAAAAUUCAAAUAAACCAGCCAGUUUGACCCCUUCAUACAUCAAUGUGCUGCCUGAAGCUUAUUUAUAUGUAUGCAUGCUAUUGAACUUAAUCUGCAGUGUUCCUACACAGCUGUUCUGCUUCUCUUCCUUGACGUUCAGCCCGCGAUAGAUAGUACUUACUGCACUACACCAACAGCUCGACGUCGACGGGAUCUGAUUAAAGCUCUGGAGGUUGAGUCGCCACAGUUGCAGAGGCCAACAAACCAUGGAGGUGAGCAAAACCUGUGCCUCCACUAGCAGCGUGUGCUUACUGCUCUUUCUCUGGUUCCAUGGAGUGACCAUGGCCAUUGCCGAGCCAUCGCCACCACAACUGGACAAGGCGCAAGAAAGCAUCAUGCAGGGUAUCUCGAGCUUGGUGAGUGGGAAAUGGAACAGCAGCUCGAAUGGAACGGAGUCAAUUGCUCGAGUUCCAGCAUCACUGCGGUCGUCACUCAGCUUUCCAUGUCAGGCGUUGGCCUCUCCGAUGCCACCAUCCUUUCCUCCAUAUGCCAACUUGAUACCUUGCGAUCGCUUGAUCUCUCCAAGAAUUUCUUCACCAGUUUGCCAGGCCAACAUCCACCCUGCCCCAUGAAGGAUGGAUUGCAAACGUUGAAUUUCAGCAGCAAUAGGCUUUCUGGUCAACCCGGCAAUUUCUCUGGCUUCCCCAAUCUUGAGGUUCUUGAUUUGUCCUUCAACUAUUUAGGUGGCAGCAUAAGUACCCAACUGACUUAUUUGCUGAAAUUGAGGUCCUUGAAUCUUACAUCCAAUCACUUUGAAGGCUCUGUUCCUACAACCAUGGUUCCCUCUUUGGAGGAACUUGCCCUGUCUGGUAAUAGAUUCAGUGGUCAAAUUCCAAUGGGUUUGUUUGGGUAUGCAGAUCUUACUCUCUUGGACCUCAGCCGUAACAACUUAACAGGCAAAAUCCGAGAUGAGUUCUUGAGCCUUCCCAGACUCAGCUCUUUGCUCCUUUCAGGUAACAACCUCAGCGGGGCAAUACCGCAGAGCUUGCUGAACCUCACCAUGUUGUGCAGUUUUGCAGGCAUGCCCAAUUCCAAAAGGAAUCACCAAGAAUAUUAGGAUGUUAGAUUUGAGUUACAACAACCUCAGUGGGGACAUUCCAUCUGAUCUCCUCUCACCUGACCGUUUGGAGGCUGUUGAUCUCAUUGCCAAUAGGCUUGAAGGCCCCUCAUUCCUGGGAACUUCUCUCAAAGCCUUCAUCACCUGAGACUUGCAGGAAACUUACUCAACGGAAGACUACCAGAAACGAUCGGUAACGCAAUGAGCUUAGCUUAUCUGGAGUUGAGGGGCAAUCAGCUUGUGGGUUCUAUACCAUCACAACUUGGCAAAUGCAAGAACUUGGCACUCCUAGACUUGUCAUCAAAUAAGCUGCAGGGUGCUCUACCUGUUGAGCUGGGAAACCUUGACCAGCUGGUCAUGGUGAAGCUUCAAAAGAAUAAUCUUAGUGGAUAUAUUCCAAAUUCAUUUUCCAAUAUGAAGAAACUGGAAGUAUUUUACCUGGGUGAGAACUCAUUUACCGGAGAGAUACCUUCCAGAGUUGUUCAGUUGCCAAAGCUCUGCUAUAUAAUCUUGCAUGGCAACGGCUCAAUGGAACGAUUCCAUCUUCAAUCAGCUCACUAACAGGAACCAUCCCCAUGAUGCCAACCAAACUGAAUUUAAUUGAACUAGGUCACAACUAUCUUGAGGGGCAUAUCCCUUCAAGCAUUGGAAUGCUAAGUAACUUGGAGUUUCUUGAUCUCUCAAACAAUAACUUAUCAGGUCAAGUACCAUCCUCACUUGCAAGCCUGCAAAGUUUUACAUAUUUGUACCUUUCUUACAAUCAGCUCUCUGGACCCCUGCCUGACUUGCCUAGAUCAGUGCGGCUUAAUGUGACAGGAAAUCCAGGCCUCAAAAACCAUACAGAAGAUAGUGACACUCCAGACAAUAUGGCACACACCGAAAAUGACUUCAGAUAAGCUACAUGGGUUGCAGCAGUUUCUUUCGUAGUUGCCUUCACAAUCUCCUUUUAUGCAGCUGGCAUAAGGAUGUGGUUAUUGCAAGAUCAAAGGAGCUACUGCAGAUGACCGUCCCUGCUGAAAUGUCUGCAAUGGUCACUGUGUCAACCACUGUGACUGUCACACUAACCAUUACAGUGAUUCAGUGCUAACCCUUCUGAUGCAUGUAGCUGUUCUUCAUAAUUAUAAAAGAAAUUCGCAUGUCCAAGAUGGCAGUCUUUAAUGAUGUACUGAAAUAAGCAUAAUUGCAAUUCAAAACUUGGUUGCAGUUCCGUGCAAGUCAUCAACAGAUGCAUUAAAACUAGAUCAACAAUAAGGUAUAGUUCUCUUUGAGUGGGUACUUUCUUAAUUGGGAUUGAUUCUUUCAGCUGGAGAAGGAAUGUCACAUGUAGCUCAUAACAUUUAAUGCUUUAAAAAAAGUGAUUACAUGAAUCCUAGACAACAAAAGCUGAUGAUCCUUAAAAACAUAGCAAAAUGGAACUUUCUCAUAAGAAACUGAAACUAAGUUCCUGUGAUCAAUCUCAGUCAUUAACUAUGAUUAUGAAUAGUGAAAAAGACAUUCGACCACGCACAUGCACAGCCUAACUUUGAUCAGGAUAGAUUGUACUUGCUCUCUUAUUUUAGAAGCACCUGCAGGGUACCCACCCUCCCCCCCCCCCCCCCCCCCCCCACCUCCAAACCCCCCCAGUUACAUCCACCGCAAUAGUCAGUGAGUGAGCACGUUGAGCAAAACUUUUCACAAGGAACUGUUUGCACGGGACUCUUUCAGAAUAAGUUUGACAGCUUUUGUGAACAAGAAGAAAGGUAGAACCUAAAACGGAGUCAUCAACUUGGAGCAAAUAAUAUAGUAGCAACAUGGAGCAACAAAAAACAAAACAAUUCAUAGAACAAUGCUUUUACCUUGAAUAGAUAACUGCAGUAGUAGAAGAAUUGAAGUAUAUGUCCUCCCUUUAAUAACUUCCCUUGCUUUCUGGCUUUCUGCAAUCAGAUAUCCUGAAAACUUAUAAAGAAUGGCAACCACUGCACACUGGAAACAAUCAAUGUAUGCUUGUAACUAUUCAAGCACAACUUCCUGUUUGAAUCACACUCUUUAAGCAGUAUCUUUAAUCUUCAUUAAUGGUUCUGAAAAUUGCAUUCUAAACAUUAAGAACAAAAGGAUGGCACAAUGAGGCGUAAUCAAAAAAUAUUUGCAAUGUGAGACAUGAGAAUUAGAAUGAUCAAAUGUUUAUCAGGAGGGCUCGCUUAUCAAAAGUGUGAAUUGAUACUUACACAGACUCAGUAUACACAUUGACAACUAGGCAGCAAUUAUGAGGUAAUUACAGGUAAAAAAAAUGAAGCCUGGCAUUUCUAUAUAGCGUCUUCCUAGAAAUCACAUAAGAUCACGUUGCAGCUAACAGGUGACUUCCUAAAAUGAGAAAAAAAAAAGUAUAGUAAAUGACACCACUGUCUAAAUACACUUCAUCAAAUGCUUUUCCAGAACUGGUAUUCCUUGAUGACAAACACUUAUUUGGCCUGAAUGUGGCAUCCUUCUGGGUUGCUCCUUAGCAAAAAUCAUCAUCCAGAAACAGGCGAGGCAGAGUUGACAACUUAUAAUCUGUGAUACCAAUCGAUCCAAGGUCAGGUUGAGGUAAAACCUCCAACUCCAGUUCUACACCAAUCAAUCAUGUCUGAUCAUUGUGAGCAAAAAGAUUCCCAAGAUAUCCUGCCAAAUGUUGGCGAAGAAUUAUCCAUCAGACGAUACUCGAGUCUUUGUAUCUAAGAGGGCGCCCUUCCUUUAGGUAGCCAUUGCCAACCUUGGGAAGUGACAACAUCAAGGUCUCAUCAUCCACAGAAUCUUGACAUUUUAGUGGCAUGACUUCAAUGGCAAACCCAUUCUGUCUAUCAUGCUUUCGUCGUGUGGACAAAGAUUGUCCAGGACCUGUUUGAAAAGAAAAUCUCAACAGACAAAACAAAACAUUCUCAAGGAAUGCAUGAAAAUUGCAUGAAUUACGACAUACUGUCAGCCAUGUCCUUUGUCUUGUGAAGAAGAAAUGUCCCAGAAAGGAUAGUCAGGAAACCACACAUCUCUGUAACAAUUUGUGUUGGAUUUUGAUGGUCCCAAUCCUGCACAUCAAGAAACAAACCGAUGAUAAACUUAAAAGGUAUACUUUUUGUGAGGUAGAUAAUUCAACAUAAAAGGCACAAUCACCAUGCAUAUAUAACAAUUACAGAAGCAAAUACUUGAGUCAAUACAUAGAUAGAACCAGCACAGGUGCACAACUUCAACAGCAAGUAUAUGUAGGUAGAAUUCUUUCUGAACAAAUUACAAAGCCUUGGAGCUUUCAUUUGGCAAAGUUAAGCCACUAACGUGCGAAAUUCUGUUAGCAUUAUGCUAGAGGCCCAAAUGCCUAUUAUUCUGAGAUAUAUUUUCUAGUAAACAACCCCCACAAGACAACUUGAGAACAAGAUAUAGGCAGAUAAAGAAUAGAAUCAAACAGCAAGCCUAAAUUUUAUCACUUUCUCCACCAAAAAAUGUGCAUUGCUUCUCACAAAAGUAAUACAAUGGAUUACCUUGAACAUUAUCACACUGGCUAUUAUUGUUAGUGAUGUAAACAUCACGUAAUAUAUUGGUGAGACCACUGCUGUAUUAAAGGUAUCCAGAGCCUGCAAUUUAAAUAGGAAAACACACUAACUUAGCUUGCAAGAAAUUUAUUAACCAUAUUUUAAAAUAUUAGAAGAUCAGUUUGAUAAGAACUGCAAGUGACAGUUCAAAGUUCAAACACAUAGCACAGAUUAUAAAUAAGCUGCAUGCAUAAUUAAUGUUAUCCGCUUCAUGUAAUAUGUAUCCUUCUGGAGACAGACAAUGUAAUAAGUUGACAAGUUGUUUGAAGGUCCAGUGCUAAUUCAAAAGCCAUUCAUCUAUUGUAUCAAAAAUUGAUCUUAUGUCAAUGAAUCACUUCAAAUGUUUAUAUAUCUAGUAUCCAUUGUACACUCAAGAAUGAGAACUGGAGCUAAGCAAUGUGGAAGCUUACGAGGCUAAAUGCCUAAAUUUCCAUUGGGUUAGACGCAUAUAUGCUAGAAAGACAUUUAGAUGGCAAUAAUGAAAUGCAAGCUGCUAAGCCAGCAACAUAUGGAACUUGUAUUUUUUUUUCCAUGUUUCUGGAAAGGGCAGCAAUAGUGGAUGACAAUAAUCUUUUCAGAGUAACUGGCAACCAACAAUCUACAACAAUAGUAGGAGCGGCAAAACAGAAUGAUUACCUUAUUUAGAUAGUUAAUCUGGGUGCUCACACAGGUGGCCACAAUUAGAGCAAAAGCCCAAGUCUGAGGAUAGAAUAAUUGGUUUGUUCCUGAGAAUGUUAGCUUCACGGCAAUUCCAAGAGCUCUUACACUCAUAACCUGCAAAAAUUCUUACUAUGAGAUAGAAAAUGGAAUUCAGUGUGAAAUCCCAGUAGAGACAUCAAAAAGAUUGUGCUUAACCUAUAUGUAUGUGUGUGUGUGUGUGGUGGGUGGGUUGCGGGGGCAAUACCGUGAGUGAUCCCAGAAGUGAACACACUCCAAUGUACACCAUUAUGUUUGUUUGCCCAUGAUGAGGGACAACAAAAUAUAUAAGCACUAAGGCUGCUGCAACUACUAUAGCCGCAUAGCAAAGGAAACCUGCAAAGAAACCAAUAAUGAAUAAAUCUAGCCCAUGAGAAUUGUAAUAAGAUUGUAAUGAUCAUAAUGUGAACAGCCAGAUACUAAUCAGUGUAGCAAAUACCUGGUUCAGUUGCAAGAUCCCAAACUUCCUUUACAGAAUCAAUGUUCCGCUCCUGUGGAGCAUGGAGUACAAUUGUGAUGGAUCCAACAACACAGAGAACACAACCAAGUAUACCAAAUGUGUGCAGUUUCUCCUGUAGAAUGACAUGUGCAAGUGCAGCACUGCAGAAAUUACAAAAAGAUUGUCAUCUCAAUUAAAUAACUAGUUAGGAAAAGCACAAUUCUAGUAAGUUUGACAUGUAAUCUUCUAAAUGUACCUGAUGAUUAUACUGAGUGCGCCAAGAGGAGUGACAAGGAUAGCAGGAGCAAAUGCGUAAGCAGCAAAAUUAGCAAUUUCACCUACAAUCACUGUGCACAAAAGACAUGUAAGUAAACAUUUUUCAAGAUUCUUUCAUUCUGAAAGUUUCAGUAACAUGUUCUCCUAAACAAGAUUGAAGCAGUAACUUUGCUAAGGAAAAAGCACAUAGCUAAACUAUAGAAUCUCAAUCCAUCCAUUUCCUAUGAAUAAAGCUCAACAAAGAUUUUACAAAGAAUACUCAGGAAGAUCAAAUAGCCUCAAACAGUGUUAAUAAUGAAGUAUCUCAUUCAGAUGAUACGAUCUCAAGUUCUCAACUUUGCUAGCAUUUUUCAUGGCCCAGUGCUGGUCCGUUACUCCAACUAUAUUACUAUUAUCCACUGGCAUUUAUGAAACUAUCAAAAGCUGCUUUAUGAAUGAACUGUUACUCUCCCUAGUGGCCUAAUACAAACUGGCAGCAUCUAUCUCAUUCUCAACACGAUCGUUUCUGCAAUCAUUCUUCUGUGCGGAAUAUCAACAUGGACAGUGUUAGAUGACAGGGUGAGAGCCAACUAGAUCAACAAAAAUAACGGAAAAUGUUCAAACAGAACACAAAUAUAUACAUACAAGUGACAGAGGAAACAGAGUAUCGUAAUAAACAAGGUCAAAUUGGGACGGAAAGAGGGCUUACUAGAAAUCAUGCCUAUCCACCAAAGAGGCUCCAUUAAGUAAGAAAAUCCUCCAUAUCCUGGUUUAUGUAGACAAAAACAUCUAAUUACAGUGCGCACAAAAACAAUGUGAAAAGCAUAACGACAUUAUUUUUGAAAUACAGAAGAAGGAUAUCAGUAAAUUUAUCAGACUCAGUAUGCAAUGCACAAACUGUUAACCAAACAUUCUCUGGCACAUUGCAAACUCGGACUCACUCAGCUCUUUCCUUAUAAAGGAAUGUAAAACAAAAGUGACAGACAAACUCAGUUUCAUUUUUUACUUAAUUGACCCCCUUUGCAAGUUGCAACUGAAGAGCCGAAGGAAAUAGCCUUGACUUGAUUGGACUACUUUUGCAAGCAAACUUUUUUGCAUCAGCGCAGACCCCAAGUCUCCAAGAUAUUGCCCACGCCGUCAAAUCAUUGCAAUCUUUUUUCCACCACGCAGAAGAGAAUCAAUCCAUCCACCCAAUUGCAAUGCAAAGAAGCAUGAACCAUCUUUGACUAAAUUCAGUGGCUGACUCCAUGAGGCUUUGCUAUCAAGCUGGUCAAUUUUCCACGCAACCAAAUCUACCACAGAGAAUGAAAUUGACCUCUUCGGAGUCAACUAGGCUCCUCUGAGAAACUAAAUCAAGAAAAGGAAAAGCUUCAGGAAAAGAAAACUCGGAUCAGAAUCCCCAAACUGGACUCAACUGAACUCCAGUUUACCGCCGACAAGAACAGCCUACCACAUUUUUUUUCAACCGCGCAGAUCCCUCUCACCAACCAAAGCAAGAACACCCACCCGAAACCGCGUGGCAAAAGGGAAAACCCAAAAAAAAAAACAAGAAAUCAAUUUCAGAGCUUCAACCCGAUUCCAGUAUCCAGCGAAGCAACCACAUGGCUGGCAACAGGCCAACAGCACAACUCGUCCGCACCUCGCCGUCGUGCGAACCAACCAACCCAACCCACCCACCCACCCACCGACGGGGAGGGAGAUCCAGACAGGAGAGCGGGCAUCCUCCGACGGACGACGCGGCGAACAGGGGCCCCUCACUCACCCGCGCGGACGCCGGAGUCGGCGGCCCUCCUGAGCCCCAUCUUCUUGACGAUGAAGCUGGCCCCUAUGAAGGCGCUGGACGACACCGCCAGGACCAGGCCCUUGGCGUUGUCCGACGACAUGGCCCCACCGCGCCCGGCCGCCGCCGCCGCCGGGGACGCCGGCGCCGCCAUCCACUUCCCCAGGCAAAACCCCGCGGUUCCGCACUCUACAGCCCCGCUGGUUCCGUCUCCUACGCCUCCGCCGCCGCCGCCGUCGCCGUCAUGGGGAGUGGGGCGAGGAGAGGGGGGGAGGUCGGAAGCGGGAGGGAAAGGGCCAGGAUGGAAGAGGUGGGAAUUUUAAGGGGCCGGGACUUUAUAUGCUGCGUUAGCCCUUGGACAAUCAGAUAUUUACAUAUGUGUACAUAUGUAAUCCACCGUGACUGCUAGAUGGAUCUGCUUGUUUUAUUCUUAAAAAAAAGUUGGAAUUUUGAUGAUAUUUUUGUAGGAUUUUGUUGGAGAUUGUUUGUGAUUUGCGAUUUCUGGACUGGAUUCCUAAAAUAUAUAAUAACCACUCUUAAAAAAUAAAAGCUUUUUAUUGUUAGUUUUUCAGUUAGCGGGUUAGCACGGUUCAAAAUGCGAACAAGUAAUAAAAGGAAUCUAAUAUAUUCCACUUCCGUGAAGAAUAAAAAAAAGAAUUGUUUAACAUUCCAAGAAACAUCUAUGAUAUAUCGCGUGUAUGUUUCAUGAGGGAAAAGAAAAUUUGUGCUUUUUUAUUGUAAAUUUGAGUGCUCUUUCUUAGUUGCUUUUAAGCAUAAUCAUCAAAGCUUGUGAUCUCAAGCAUUAACAAGAACAAAUUAACACUAACACCUUGCUAUUAGCAUGAUUUUGCAAUGUUUUACACCUUUCCAGGCUUAGGAAUUCAUGAAUUUGUUAGCCCAAAGCUUGGUCGAACAUGGCAGAAAAAUAAAUAAGACAAAUCAAGAGGAAAGAGACUUUUUGCCAAAAUUUAGCAAUUCAUCUCAUCUCAUAGAGUUUUGAAUGUAGAAAACAAGCUAGUUUCAUUUUUUUAUACCCAUCCGCAUAUACUAAUAACUGGUGGGAAUGUCGAAUCAGAUCCGAUUUUUUACACGAAACUUCUACAGCGUUCCCAUCCUUACCUUACCUGUUGCCACACACGUAUCCAGCCCAAAAGAAUGCAAUAUUUGUUUGCAAAUACUGCGCCUACUAUAUUCAUGGUAAAUUUACACAUAGCAAACCCAAAAUCAUACUCCCCCGUUCCAAAUUGUAAGUCAUUCCAACUUUUUUGGAGAGUCAAAUCAUUUCAAGUUUGACCAAAUUUAUACAAUAAAGUAUUAACAUUCAUGAUAUCAAAUAAGUAUCAUUAACUUUUUCAUUAAAUAUUUUUAUAGUAUAUCUAUUCGGUACCAUAAAUCUUUAUGAUUCUCUCUAUAAUUUUAGUCAAAUAUAAAAUAUUUUGAUCUUCCUUAUAAUUUUCAUAGUAUAAUUUUUUCCCAUCUACAUGUAUAUUGAUUACUCAUGGAAUGUCAAACCACAUGAUUACCAAACCCGACUUUUAUAAGAAACCUCUCCAGCCUUGCCCAUCCUUUAUCCAUUGCCAGACACGUAUUCAAUCCAAGAGAACACGAUAUUUGCUUGCGAAUACUACGCCUACUACUGUAUUCAUGGUAAAUUUACACGUAGCGAAAGCCCAAAUCGUAAUAUCCUAAAUGCACAUGGACGCGCAUGCGAAAACCCUCCAAAACUCUCUCGAGGUGAAACGAAAUGAACGGGUCUUCCGUCCAGCGGGCCCCACGGGCAGAAGACCAGAAGUCCAAAACCCGCUCGGACCACGCACGCGACCGUCCCCCGCGGACGAUGCGAAAUCCUCCGUCCGUCGCCGCAUCCUACGGCUGGCGUCCAUCCCGUCCCAUGGACCGGGUCCACGCGCGCGGCGGGCCGCGUGGGGACUCGCGGUUGCGGGGCCCGGGAGCACGUGGGACAUGCCCCGUCUGGACGGGAGGGGAAGGAAUCUGCCACGCUGGCGCCUCCUUUUCCGUUCCGGUUCCGGCUUCGGCUCCUUCAAGGCACUUGCUUGGCUUUUUCAGAAGUUCAGACAUGUUUUUAUCCAUUUUUUUUAGCACAUGGAGUUGAAUCUUUUGUGCUUUGCGUUUAUGUCAGUGUUAUUAGGACUAUGUUGUUGCAGCUAAGAUAUGAUUGUUUGGAAGAAGUUGUUGCAGCCAUGUUGAUGCAGUCUAUGUGUGUAUCUCUAGUUGGUUUCCAGCCCAAAAGUUUUAAUAUUUUGGAUCUUACUCUGGUCAAGAAAUGGCAACAAGAUUUGCUUAAUCGGAAAUUGAAAAAAAAAAGGUGUCCACAUACUUUGGUACUACCGUUGUAGUUUGAACAAAGCUAUAGAAAUAUGAGGCUCACUAAUCACGUUCUCUUAAUGAUAAGUAAGGGCACAAAGAAUGGAGGGUGAAUAUAACACCAGGGAGAGGGGGCCAAUUUCAGCGUUAGCUAGCAAUUAUACCUAAUAUCUACUAACUUCAUCGAGAGAUUGCAAAAUUUAAGGGAAGGCCAUGAUCCCAAUUGGCCAUCACUGAGCUCCGCCAGUGCGCAAUUGGCAAAAGGAAACAAACACCUUGCGGUUUGGAGCUUUGAUUCACUAUGUUCGUUAAGCAAGUUAUUGCUAAGGAACAUAAGCUUUGUUUUUUGAGUAACAAAUAAAGCUCUACUUCCUGGAAAAAAAAAGUAAACCUUGGUACAAUGCUUAAAGAAGGUCUUCAUAAGAUGGGGAUCAGAUUUAUUUGGUGUUCCUGAUUAUUAUAUAUAGAUUAUAGACUAGUUGUUUGGCCACUCUAGUAUCAAGGAGAAAUUGUUGCGCAGAAAACUCUACGAUUUAGAUGGCCCGUCAGUUCCUUCAUUGCCGUAGGCUCCACCAGCCAUGGGUUAGGAUCCUAUUAGUGCCUGUUCUUAGGCCUGUUCCUAGGUUCAUGUUAGACAGCCAUUUUGAUUACUUUUACCGUUUUAAGCACAAAGAUUGCCAUCGUGUUAUCUUGUCCUGUUCUGUUACGUAGUUGACUGCUCGCCAUCGUGUUGUCUUGUCCUCGGACCUACAGAACAGAAGGGCCCAAAAACGAGGGUAGGUGCUGGUUCGGCGUGCAGUGUACCGCAGACAGAGACAGCAAGGACACCUGCAACGUCCAGCGCUCCACAAACAACAGAAAGGCUGCAACUGCAAUGUUACUACUGCUUGGCCAGCUUGCUCAGGGGGUGUUUGGGUAACACCUACACAUCGGAUGUUUGAUACUAAUUAGGAGUAUUAAAUAUAAACUAAUUAUAAAAUUAAUUACACAGAUGGAGUCUAAUUCGCGAGACGAAUCUAUUAAGUCUAAGCAGUCCAUGAUUUGACAAUGUGGUGCUACAGUAACCAGUUGCUAAUAAUGGAUUAAUUAGGCUUAAUAGAUUCAUCUCGCGAAUUAGUACAGGGUUCUACAGUUAGUUUUAUAAUUAGCUCAUAUUUAAUCCUCAUAAUUAGUGUUCGAACAUUCGAUGUGACCCUCCUAAAAUUUAGUGCCUCGUAUCCAAACACCCCCUCAGCAACAGCCCUUUUUUUGUCCCGUUGCCAUGGUGACACCGUCCGAAACUUUUUACUACUGCUCGGCAACAGUAAUUCUGCCUCUGAGUUGUACAGUACAGACAACAUGUUAUAAAUGUGUUCGAUAAUGAAACGUGUGUAGUUAAAGGUUUAGAACUGCAAAUGUACUUACACGGAUGCGUUGUUUGAUGCUGUGGUCGGGACGAAAGCAAUAAGAAACGAUCCGAGACGAAAUCACGUUAUUUUGACGGAAACAGGCGUGGGAGGUGCUUAUCCUUUAUAUGUAAAAGCGAUGAUAUUUACAAUUUACGAGGCUUUAAGCCGAAAAGAAAAAGAGGAGGGAAAAAAAUUAUAGAGGGGAAACGCAUUGUAGAGGUAAAAGCGACUAGAAAUAUGUCUGGUUGGAAACGAAACCAUUUUAUUGGAAACGAUACUCGGUUGAUGAGAAUUUCACCAUUUUCACCGUGGUGUGGUCCUGUGGAAAUAGCACGUGUAAUUUUCUUACAACACACCGCAUCAAUGUUCAAAUGCCCAUAUCAUUAGCUGAGGGAGUAUGUGCAUACAAACUCUUCUUUUUCCAAUCUUUUAUUAGUAUGUGGCAAGAGACAUUUGAUUAUGCGAAGAUGCGAAGUGGCACAGAAGAAGAUGGUGAUUCUUCCAACAAUCAUUACGCAAUCAUUGUCAUGAUCGUAGUCACCGUACCACUAGCAUCUGGGUACCAGAAAGUAAGUAUUGUAUGCUUAUUAUUUAAUUAACUCAUAAUUUAGGGACCACCCUAAAGUAUGCACGCAUUCUAGUUUCUUUUUUUUUUCGAAAAAUUCUUCUAGUAGUUUCUUGGAACAUGAAACAAGUGACAAAAGGUUUCUGCAACAUGCCAAAUUAAGCGUGCAUAGGCGUGCCUUCGAUGUCAGCUAGAUGAACAAUUAGAGUAGUUACUAACUAAAGCUAUCACAACCGACUAAAUAAAAGAUAAGUACUAAUCUAUUAUCUAUGUGAUAUUCAACAGAUGAGAGAGAGCGCCAUGUAAAUAAUUUGAUUAUUAGCUACAUAUCCUAAUUCUUUUUACAUAAAUUUCUAAUAUGUAUAUCUACCAAAAUUAUUAAUCUGUGUGGAAGCAUGGAUUGAUGGACUAGUUAGAUAAAAUAGAUAUUAAAAUAUUUGUCAUGAACAAUCUUCAUAUUACUGUUUUUUUUGAAAAUAUCACUGCAUUUUACUAUAAGAAUUUUUAGAAUGGAUGGAAAAAAAAUGAGAGACAUCCAUCCUGAGAAAUCUAACAAUGGAAAUAAAGGAAGUACCUAAAGAGAAGUACCAAGUAGUAUCAAAUUGGUGGGACCAAGUACCAAAAAUAAUCCUUAAAUUUAAUUUUUUUUAAUUAUUUUUUCAAAUCAUACAGUGGAAACAAAGGAACUACCAUUAAAGUAGCAACAAGUACCGAAGGGUACUUUUAAACCACUGUAAAAGAGCUCUUUUACUAUUACAUAGGGAUAAAAAAGUAAUAAUUAAAUAAGUAUAAAUGAAUUAUGGAGCAGUCAAUUAAUAUCUGCCCUCCUAACAAGAUACUUAAGAUUAGCUAUAGCAGGAUUGAUAAACUUCUAAUUCUAUUCCUAGGUAGGCAGGUAGCAUAUCUACGGCAGUUGGCAACUGCUCUCUUUUUUGGCAGCUAGUUUUUUUUCUUCUUCUUAUUUUCUUGUGGCUGUGGGAUUGGGACGAGACCAUUUGACUUGCCUAGCUGUGCCUUUGGAGGCCGGUCUGAAUGUGCAACAUACAUGGGGCCAAAAUGCAUGGUCCUCCUUGUAUUGUUGCUUCAAUAAUUGGAUGGCAACCUUGUGUGCUUUGCAAGAUAAAGGCUCGCAGCCAUGUGGCUUUGUGAGUUGUGCUUCAUCAACAUUUUCUCUAAUACUGUGUAAUGCAUCUCGUCGUAUCAGCCUGUCUGCAGGGUUCUCAUUAAUUCGUAUGUCCGUCUUUGUACACACACGUAAAUGCGCCUCCUUUUGUGUAGGUGGUUCUAUGAUUUGUAUGGAUUUUUUUCGUAUGACCAUGACUACACAACAUAUUUGAAUAAGGAAUAAUUACUAGAAACAUUGAUCUCCAAGUCUUAUUCUCAAAAUUAUUACAACUUAUUGCACAAAAUAGUUAUUGUACUUCAAUCUCCCAUACACACAUCGAUCUCGAAGUCUUAUCCUCACAAUUCAGAAGAGAUAACAGGGACUGAAAGGGAAAAAAGGAAGGAGGGAGACUGUUCAGAAGUCACAUGCCUCUGCAAUUUGUUUUUUCUUUACAGCAAAAUGUUAGGCCAGAGGAAGGCAGAUAUGCACUCCCUUAUCCAUUUCUUUUCAGCGAGGAAAAGAUAAAGGAGGGGCACUGUACAUGUAAACUCUGAACAGGUGCCAGCUUCCCAACGUAGUGGCAAACGUGCAAACGUGCAUACGGGGUCGGGUCAGGAUCCAUGUUUGUGCAGGGUACACAACCACUGAAAUUAAAAGGAUAUUUAGAGUAACAAUAAAAUUCUUUCGUUCUAAACAGGACAAUUUGGCCAAGUUGAGACCUUUAGUGGGACACCUGAUGCGCGAGGGACUGUUUCCCAACCUAGAGCGGUUUAUAUAUGCUCAGGGUGAUCUGAAAAUGUAGAGAAAAAAAUCUUUUUUGAUAAUUUUUUUGGUUAACACAAAAAGGAAACAUAGGCCCUGUUUGUUAGAGGAGCCAGAGAGCUUAUCCAAUGCUGAACUGUUUAGAGUCAAGGAUUGGAGCUAGUUGUUGAAUUGGGCCACAGCGGAGUUAUUGCCAAAUGGUGCCUCUGCCUCCCAACCAAACUGAACUAAAAGUGUACAGCUACUUCACUUUUGUUUCCGUAUGGUACCAUGCACGCCACGCCACAUAUCCAACCCCAUACACAUCACUUCACUAAAUGAUGUAUUGAUGUGUGUGCAUCCAGCGAAGUGGUCUCUUAUUGUCAUCAUAAUAAACCCCUACAGUACUUGUAAUUACACAGUCCACAUGGAGCGGAUAACCGUUAACCGGUGUUGUCUCCCUCGCUGGAUUUGGAGAGAUCCAACCACUGGACCAGUGGUUGCUUCUGGGCCUGCCACACACACUUGGGAUACUUUGCCAAGAGUCGAGCCAAAGAAAUAGAAUUAUUGCCACGCGGCUAACUGAUCAUCAAGUGGGUUCUAAUAAAAAAGAAUGAAAUAGAAUUGAAUAAAAUGAUCAAGGAGAGCUCUGUGUGCAAUCUGUCACACCCUGUGACCAUGCACGAUGAUUGAACGGGACGUGAUGAAGUAGACGAGCUCUCAUUGGAUACACUCAUGCGGCUGCCGACGAGAAUUUCACUAAGACAUAAGGAGGAUUCGCUACUUGUAUAAAUAUGGACAAUGAAAUAAGAUUUCAAUUCCUAAUUCUCUCCUUCUCGUCCUCUCUAUCAUUGACUAACGGCCCCACCGUCCAUAGACCAAGCUCAUUUGAGAAAAAAACUCUUUCUUUUAUGGUACUUUGGUUAAGUAUUUUUUUUCACCCCUGCAUACGAAUUUUUGAACCAGAUCUGGAUUCCGCUGUUUUCUUCUUCGUCCACUCUCUCCUUCAUCCCUACAACGCUCCUCCCAUUCCAACGCCAAAUCACUACGUUGUCGCCCCUACGCCGCCCUUUAGGAUCCGUCUUCGGCGGCUCUUGCUGCUAGAUCUGUGGCCACCGGUCUUCACCAGCUAAGCCAUCGUCUGGUUAGAUUUCUUUACAUCCCUAACUCUACCCAUCGGCCGUCCUCCGCCAUCCGCAUUCAUCGCCCUACACACCAACAUCGCCACCUCCAAGUAGUCAUACCGCCAUUGAAUCCUCACUGAAACCACCUAAAAUCCUAGUCCUAAUCUUGCUAGAGCUAGGAAUCGCCCGAAAUGGAGAAGAUGGGUCCAAGCUUCCUGAAGAGUGGGAAGAUGAGAUUGGAUCUCGUCAAAGAUCAUAAGGAAUCAUGGGCUGUUGAGGAGAGGAAAAUAUUAGGGAACCGAUUCGCUUCAAAAUACUCAGGUAUUGUCUAUCAUUUGCAUUUCUAUAUCCAUGGAGGUAGACAAAUGACACCUGGAAUUGCAGCUAGUUUCGAAAUUACACUUCAGUUCACUGAGUUCUAGUAUUUUAUUUCCAUACAGAUUUCUCUUUAGCACAUAUUGUUAUGACUUUAUGCAAAUGUAUCCUUUUCUAACGUCAUACAUACCAUAAACGUGGUGAUAAGACAUGCAUAAUCGGAUUGGUAGGCCCUAGUGUUGCAUUGCUUUUGGUCUGUUAGUGCAUCUUUCUAUUUGGUUUACAUCACGAGAUGACAUUUGAUGGCACAGUAGCCCUGGAAUAUUAAACAUGCUAAUCCAUACCAUGGCCGGUCCAACUGUAGGUACUAAAGCAAAAAGCCGAACUUUGCUGCUGGUCCAUGAGUGCACCUAUGUUUAGGGGAAAGAUAGCCACUUUGUGACAUCUUUUGUAGGUGCUCAAGGAAAUAUCUCCAAUGAUUGGCUUCUCUGAGCCAAUCCAAAAUUCAUUUAUUCUGGUUCCAGUUCCCUCUAAAUUCCCAAUUUUUUUCGUGGACGUUUUUGGUGUGACAUGUCCACUCCACUUAUCAAGUUCUCUGUUCUUAACUUCUUAUAAUAAUAGUUACAUGAGUGGGCUGUGCCAUCAAGCACAUGUCUUUCCAGGUUUCCAUUGGCGCUGGGUCCUUGCACUAUUCUGAAAUCAAAUAUGAACACAAAGAUUUUCAGUUGCCACCAUGCUAUUUCAGGUGAUUCUUUCACAAUUUGGAUACUCUCUACCUGGAUAUGUUUUGGAUGCUACUUACUUCCAAAGGAUCUCACCUUUGCUGGCAACAGUACAUCUUCAGAAUCUUAUCUCACCAAGAUGACAACACCAAAGGUAAAACAAUACAGAGCCAGCCAAAACAAUCUGUUGCCCAAGGCCAUUCAUUCAGACAUCUUUUCCUCUCAGUGGAAAACACUGCUGAACACCUCAUUCAGUCAUCUUUACUCUUUCCCCAGAAGGCCAGAAGAGCAUAGGACAUACAUAGACAGGGAGCAGGCAGAUCAGAUUCCAUCUUUCCAAGCAACAUCACAUCUUCAGCAGAAAGCCAUCAGAAUGCAUGCCAUCUGGGCUGUUUCUCCCCCAUCCAAAAACACAAACACUCCUGAUCUACAUGUUCAUGGAUUCCAGGCAGCCUCCCUUUGCUUUCCAAUCACCCCAGCCAUGCUGCACCAAUCCCUUUUCCUCAAAAUGUACUGGCUGUUUGGUCCAACCAGCAGCAUCCUUUAUUCACAGCUUCUGUUAGGCAGGCCAGGCCCAUGAACAUUCUUUAAGCUGCAUUCUACAGCAUACACAGCCUUUACCCCCCUGGACUAUUGAGUGCAUACUGCAUAGAUCCUCUGCAGACUGCAUAACAUGUGAUCAUUUGAAGCAUCAAAGCUUUCAGUGCCUGUCAUUUUGGCUCAACAGUGUGCACUAAUCACUGGACAAUUAUUGCCUUGUCCUCCGUGUCCUCAAAGUUGAAACCCCAGGAACCCAUAUCUUCAACAGCCAAGCCAAUUUCAGGUAGGUAGAUGAGGAUGUUGCACCAUCCAUGACAGUGAGCACUCUCAUGCCAUAGCUGCUAGCUAGUAGUACACACCAAGUGUUCCACAUAUAUAAAGAUAUAAAUAUAGAUACAAAGGAGCUAGGGAGUAGUGGUACUGGUACACACAUACAUCAACACCACACAUAUAUACACCUUAAAGAUUUUGCAGGUUUGCAAGAGACAUGGAUGACUUCACUUUCCCAACUCUGUAUGCAGGAGGGUUCCCUCACCAGCUCGGCCUCGGCGGCUCCUCCCCUCCGCCGUGGUUCCUCGCCGCCGCCGCCGGAGGGGAGGAGGAUGAGGACGAGGAGAAGAUGGACAUGCUGUGGGAGGACUUCAACGAGGAGCUCGCGAGCGCGCCGCCGCUGUGCCCGCUGAGCCCCGUGAUCAACAAGGGAGGGCUGGCGAUGAAGGAGGAGGAGGCCUGGCUCGACGACGAGCUCAUCGUCGUCGACCUGGAGAAGCGCGCGAAGCAUCUCCAUUCUCCACAGGACGGCAGGGUGGUCCGGCGCCGGCGGUGGAGCAUGGCGCUGAUGCUCAGGCUGCUCAAGAAGCUGUUCCUGGUCAAGAAAUCCAGGAACAACCCGAGGACCGCACCGAUUUGAUCCUUCCUCAUCAGAUGGGCUUAGGCUGCUACCUCCAAGAGAUCAAUGGGGGAUGAGUGGUUAUAUACAAUAUAUCAGAGUAAUGUUUUGAUUAAUCGGUAGUGCCGUGUGACAUGGAUUUAUACAGGUGUACUUGGUUUUGCUCUCACAAGGCAAACAGCCUGGUGUGUUCUUUUUUUGCUGAAGAUUGUGUUUUCUUAGCAUCAGUUUAAUCCUAACUGCCGGUUAUUGAAUUUGAAUUUUGGUAUACCUUAUUUGUUACCGUUCAAAUUCUUCAUGUGGUUGUUAGAAUUGCCCCCCAUGACUGUUUUUUUUUUAGAUUCAAAUGCAGCAUCUGAUCAUCAACCAGAGAAUGUUCACUCAGAAUCAUGCAAUGCGCAUGCCACAAACUAACGCUGAAAUGUUUGUCAACUUAAAUUAUUGGCAUUUGAUAUGGUGUGUUCUUUUUUGCUGAAGAUUGUGUUUUCUUAGCAUCAGUUUAAUCCUAACUGCCGGUUAUUGACUUUGAAUUUUGAUAUACCUCAAUUGUUACCGUUCAAAUUCUGCAUCUGGUUGUCACUUGUCAUAAUUUCCUCCCAUGACUUUUUUUUGGUCGAGAUUCAAGUGCAGCAUCUGAUCAUCAACCAGAGGAUGUUCACUCGAAAUCAUGCAAAUGUGCACGCCACAAAUUAACGCUGAAAUGUUUGUCAACUUAAACUAUUGGCAUUUCAUAUGUUCAUCAAGUUUGGAAUUAGUUGGCACACGGGAUACUGUUCUGAGUUCUCCUACCACGUACGUGCCAACAACCUCGUAGAUGUAGCCAUGCCUUUGCCAUCAAGAACCUACCGAAAUGAAGGGGCCAUUAACUGCAGAUGAGCCAAAGUUUCUGGUGGCUGCGCCAGCAUCUGUAUGUGAGGCAAAAAUCAGACGCCUCCAAGUCCCCAACCUCAUAAACACUGCACUAAAAUGUUGCAACCAACAAGAAGCUGCAAUCAGAGUACCGCCUUUCAACAUUAGUGAUCUAAAUGCCUUACCUUAUCCAUCACUUGUCUUAAUCCGGUUCUCCUAACCACACCAUAAAGAAUGUACAGUUGCAGUACUUGUGUACUCAAUUCUCCGGCUGACGAGAGGUCUUUUUAUUUUUACUUUGGGUGGUACCAUUUGUUAAAUACAAUAUGAAAGCAAAGCAAGACUGUUAACUAACUGUGACAUCCAAAAUCAGUUUCCUUAUCGUUUCAAUUUUUUUAUUCAAUCGUUUCAAAAAAAAACCAGUUUCAUUUCACCCGUCUCCUCAUUCUGAUGUUCUUAACCUGCAGACUGAAUCAUUGAGCAAUGAUUAGGUUAGGUCUCACUUAACCUGCUUCUGUUACCUCGUGUUUAGCUGUUGCUCUUGCCACACUGAUCACCAGUACUGAAAAAGGUCUGCUGACGAUGAGUGAUCUUUCUCCAUUGCUGAAGUGCUGGAUUGAGUAGAAAGGAAUUAAAGGAUGCCUGCACUGCUGAGGCUGACUGAGACCUCAACACGUGGUCUUGUAACCAUCAGCAGCAAGCCAACAACUAACAGUAAACAGAGUGAAGCAACAAGGAGCUGGAUGGCCAAGAGCACAGCCAUGAGAUGGAUGCAGCAACCAACAUGCAGGUUGGUUUCGAACAGCAGGACAUUGGUUGUGAAACUUUUGUGCUUUGUCAGGUUUGUUCUCACAACAAUCUGCAGCGGAUAGCCAGGGGCUAAAAGACCUGAUCUUGUGCCCUGCAAGAUUUGCUAGAAUGCCUGGGCUACUGCCAUCUCACAAGUCACACCACAAGAAAAAUUUCAGUAACUAGCAGCCAGUUUUUGUCAAAACUUCUGUUGCACCCUAGAGCCACAUGGUUGCAACUACCACUCCACCAGCCAAUGCAAGGCUGAUCAGGUAAAUUCCGACCGCUCUCCUGCUUUUCCCACUCCUGAAAAAAAUAUGUUUUCACUAUAAACUGCAAGAAAAGAAUUAAUGGGUGCACAGCAAAUUCCUAUAACAUACUGUUCAUAUAUAUAUACAUAUAUAUAUAUAUACAUAUAUACAUAUAUAUAUAUAUAUAUAUAUAUAUAUAUAUAUAUAUAUAUAUAUAUAUAUAUAUGUUCGCAACGACAUUAUUUGACCGGCACAACAUCAUUCCAGUCAGAACAUGAGCACAUAACUUCUGUUUAUUGUCACUUGUUUGUUUCAGUGAAUUAUGAGUGCUCUCCCUCUUGAAGGAGCACAGAAGCAUUCUCCAGCAUGUGAAUAGUUACCAGUCUUCUCAUUCUCUAGCCGCAGGUCAAUGGAUCACGCUCUCCGAUAUGCGAAGGAAACCCUAGUCUCUGCUGCUGGCACGGAGGAGCGGAGUUAUCUCCGGGACAACCCGAUAGAUGUGCACUUUUAUGUUGUCCUCCUUGAAAAGCUCGAAGACGCAUACAUCAAACUUCUCCAGAUUGUUUCCUAGAGCAAAUUUACCCCAGCCACCACUGAAAGAGGCGACAGAGCGGUCGCUGUAGUAAACAUAGUUAACUUGCCAAGGCUUUCCUAGGGGAUCCCAGAGUGUCAUCUUCUUGCUUAUCCGGGGAAGUGACUCUCUGACAAAUUCGCAUGUGAUGUUCUGCAAUACAAGGGAGUAAGUCAGAGAAGCAAUGAGAAUAUAAACGAGCCAAUGGUAAAUAAGCCAAAACGUGCAGGGCACAAGUUCAGGAUAUACGGCAAUGCUAUCCACUGGACAAAUGAAAGAACCUGAAACAUGAUACUAACACACCCCCUCCCUCCCCCCCCCCCCCCCCUAACUUACAUAAUCCAACAAGGGAUCGGAAAGCUAGGGAAUCAAAAAAGUGGUUAAAUAAGCCAAACUACGUGAAUUUGCAAAGUUACUGGAGAAAUGUGGAAAACUAUUUACUGUUACAAGAACAGUUUGCUGCAGAGUAGAGAAGCAUAAAUCGGCGAUAAAUAAUAGAUUUUCACAGAUGUGAUAGCUACACCAUAAAAACUACCUAGAAAUGGAAUGCCAAGAGUAAUGAAUAUAAGAAAACACAUAGGAAUGCAGAUCUAUACUUAGAUCAAGCUCAUUAUCUCAAACUGUGGUGCCUGUGAAUGUCCUUCAGCUAUGCCCAGCUGCCAGUAACAGUAUUUUUUAUACACUAAACAAUUCUAUAUUUCCAGGAAUGGACCCAUAAGUCUAUAGUGUAUAGCCAUGUUAUCACAUUAAUUUCCUGGAAUGCAACAAAGCAUACAACACUAGCAAACUAUGAUCUGUACAUUUUUAUCUAUCAAAGUAAUGAUGCUUAAUUUUCUUAGAACAUACUUCAGUAUUAUAUUCAAGGAAUUUAUAUGCCAUCUGAGAAAAAUUCAAACUACGGUGCACAUUAAGGAAUCCUCUUCAUGCAGGCAACUACAAGAAAGAGUUUUGAGCUCGAUAUAAAUGAAGUAGCAUAUGGGAAAUAAGUGACAGUACCAUGAAAAAUCCCACAUAGACAUACGAUAUACAUGAAGUAGCAUAUGGGAAAUAAGUGACAUUACCAUGAAAAAUCCCACAUAGACAUAAGAUUCCAUCAUUGUUUGCACGGCAAAAGGAUUCUUUGAUUUAAAUUCCUUUGCCCUUCUAAGAGCAAGGCCCUUCUCUUCUUCAGUUACUGGACGCCUUUGAGAUAUUACUACUGGUUGCCUGGCCCUCCUCACAAUGACUGAAAGAUGCAAUAGCAUCAAAUUAUUCACAGAAAUCGUGCAGUCCAAAGAACUGACUCUUAUUAACAAUAGAUGAUGGCAAAUUCACUGUAAUAAAACUAUUUAGGGGAGAAAAAACUUACAUUUACCAAGCUUAGGCAUAUUCUUGUCUCUGACGUGAGUCUUGUUGAAAGCGGUAGAUUCGUUUAAUAUACUGAAUGGGGUAUCUGUGAUAUGCAAAAGUUACCUUGAGUGAAAAGCAUGGAUGGCAAUAAUUCUGAAUGAAUACUAGCUAGAAAAAUAAUGGUUGCUCAUGAGUGUGCUAGACAAUCUAUGCAUGUAAUCAGGCAGGCCACCAGGUUGUUUUGGUGCUAAUGCUGAACUGGGAUUGCAAUCCUGUUUUGACAUAAUAGAGCACUUAUUUUUAAUGAGAAGAGUCAGUGGUAAUCUUAGCCAAUUGCCACCGCCAAUAAAGAGCGUGGCAACUACAUGCUUGCAAUGUCAGAGCACGUGGCCUCUUAAGUUCUGACCAUGGUUUUUCAAAAAACAAAAAAGUUCUGACCAUGCAGGACAACUACUCAGCAGUACAGUUGCAGGCAUGUGCUGAAUGUAUCAGUCAUUUAUGCAGUUACCCUGCACUCAAUUUCAUGUUUUCAAUCAAAAACUACUAAAAUGAUUGCAAUAUUAACAUUAUUCAGGUUACAUCUCAAAAGAAAAGUAUUAAGGUCAGUAUACAUUUUUUUAAACAUUAAGGUUCUUUUACCUUUCUCAGUGUUGACAAUUGUUGAUGCAUCCUUAGAAGUACGAACAAUAGCUUCAGGACUCUUUUUCUCAGCUUGCUUUGGAACACUAGAAUGCCUCUUUGAUGCAUUGCCAUCUGCUACGAUAUCAUUCACUUCUCUAGUCCUCUUUCCUGUUAUUCCAUUACCCUCCUCUGGGGGGAGAAUUGAUGUCUCAGAGGUGCCACCUGCAUCCAUGUCCACAUGGACCUCUUCUUCAUCAUCUUCAAUCUUAAUCACUACAUUGUUAGUACGCUUCGCAACCAAAGAUGGUGGGUCCACGACACCAAAUGAACCGAACACUGUCACGGAGAAUCGUGAGAGUCCAUCAUAUGUGAAGACCAAGAAGUGACCUUGCUUGACAGAGUGAUCCGUAACAAAUUCCUUCCACCCCUGCUCAAAGAACAACCCUUCGGAGUCUGAAGUAAGUACUGCCUGCCAUGUGUUGCCACUCGGACCUUUCAGGGAAACCAGUCCAGUAGGCUGCUCCUUGAGGUGUUGGUGGAACGCCGUCGGAAUUUUCUACACAUACCAACAAUUAAGAAGCUGUUAGUUUUUCUCCUCUAGAAUGCACACAUGAACUUGUUGACACUGAGGCAAGCUGCAUGUGUGACACAAUCUCAGAUUAAAAGUAAAACCAGCAAACGAACAGUGUAUAUAUGGUAUGUGGUGUAAUAGUCUGACGGUGCUGGAAUAUGCAAUCACAGCCAGGAGAUGAAACAUUACUGAAUACUCCUUCCGUUCCAAAUUGUAGGUCGUUUUGACAUUUCUAGAUUCAUAGAUUUUGUUAUGCACCUAGAUAUACAAUUAUAUGCAGAUAUAUAGCAAAAGUUACAAUUUGAAACGGAGGGAGUACUCGUUAUCAGUGUUACCCGGACACCCAUGU
rnacentral:lncRNA from 1 species